CUGUCCCAAUGACAACAACUACUGCCCCUGUGACAACAACUACUGCCCCUGUGACAACAACUACUGCCCCAACAACAACAACAACCCCUGACGCUGUUACUUACGUCGUAUCAGGAAGCUUGUUGAAUGAAGUUUUUACAGAUGACUUGCUCUCCACCUCCAGCCCUCGAUUCAUACAACUUUCACAAAGAGUUUCCGCUCGUUGUAAUCAAAUAUAUCGAGCAAGAUUUGGUUCUGUCUUUGACCGGUGCAUUGUGAGACAGUUCAGGGCUGCUCAAGCUCAACAAACACGAGUGGUUGGAACUGAAGUAGAGCUUUCAGUUGUGUUCAAUCGGUCUGCUCCUGCUUCAGCACUCCCAAUGAAUUCUGCUGUUGCUCAAACCUUAGUUGAUGCUGCAAAUGAUUCCAAUGCCUCCAAUGUGACCUUUGAUGCCUCUUCAGUUCUGCUAGUAUCGGGUCCAGUUCCUGCAGCUACAACUGCUGCACCUGCAACAUCUGUACCUGCAACUACAACUGCCGCACCUGAAACAGCUGUAACCACAACUGCUGCAACGACAAACAGCAACAUGUCCUUCCGAUCUGUUAAUCCAUGCAUUUAUUUAAUGCUGCUUUUCUUGGCCUAUUUCAUGCUAAUUUAAUUAAUAAUUAACAACAACAAUUACUCUAUACUGCUGGUGCCAUGGUUCAGUGUCUUGCUUUAUCCUAUGAUUUCCAUGCCCUCUUGUGUCUUGUCAGUGUCUCCUCUGUGUUUUUCCCCGUUUCUUCCCUUCCCCCCAUGUUGGAUGUUUGUCUCCCUCUGUCUGCCAGUGUUAUUUCUCCUCUGUGCUUCCCCCUCAUUAUCUCACCUGCCCUCUUCCCUCCUCUCUCUCCUCACCUGCUCCUCGUCUCCUCAUCAGUGUCUGUGUAUUUAAGCCUUUGUUCCCCAUUCACUUGGUCAGUUUGUUGUUUUUUUGUGUGUGUGCUCUGUGUGAUGUCCCUGCUGAAGUCUCCUCUCACGUCUCCUGUUUGAUAUGUUUUUGGAUUUUGAUUUCUUUGUUGCAUUUUGAUUUGAACUUUGCUUUUGGGUGUACUUUGCUUUAGCCUUAGUUGCUACUUUGCUUUGUUGCUACUUUGGUUUUUGGUCCUUGGACUCAUUUUCUUUUGUGGUCCUUGGUUUUUGUUUGCAUUCAGCUUUGGUUUCAAUAAAGUCCUCAAAAGUUCAAUAAAGCA